UUUCGCGUUUUCUAUUUACUUCACACUCGUAUCACAUUUCAUGUGAUUGUUGAAGGACGGACGGAGUGCAAUGAUAGCUAUGGGGUGAACACGGUGAAAUAUGUGUGCUGUAUGCGACCGAGUGGUGACAUAUUUGCCUAUUAACUUCCAUUUAAAUUACUUGACCACUCGAGGCACCGCUAAACUCAUAAGUCAAUCAAUUUUACGUAGCUAGCACAGAGCUAACUAUCGUGGACAUGAAAGGAGAUAUUUAAAAUAUAAACAAGUGUGUGGUUGCUCUGUUUCGCUUUGGAUCUGAUAGUUUUCGCCUCGUUAUUCGGCAGCAUUUGAUCUUGGACAUCUACAGAGUCCUGGAAAUGGAUCCAGCGGGUUUGCGCGAGAGUCCUGCGGGUUCUGGAGAAUCUUUAGAGGAAAAGAGUGGAGAAGAAUCUGUUGGAGACCAAACAGAGGACGUGAACGACGAUGGCCGAGAGGCUGAUGGGGAAUCCGAGAAAAUAGAAAUGGAAAAUAAAGCCUCUUACCGAUCUAUAGGUGAAGAGGAAAGAAAGACGCAUGGAAAAUUACCUGAGGAUCAACUAGAUCCCAGAAUCCCGGAGGAACUUGAGCAUCUAAAUGAGGCUGGUAAGGAGAUCAACAAGCUGGAACUGGAGCUGCAAGAGGUUCGGGCCAGCCACGGGAGGAUUAUGAGUGAAUCGGUGCUUAAACUCAAGACAAUGAAUUCAGAACUGGGGUCCUGUAUCAAAAAGGCCAGACCUUAUUAUGAGGCACGGAACAAAGCAAAAGAGACCCAGCAGGAGACCCAGAAAGCAGUGCUCAGCUUUGAGAGAGCAGCCUCCAUGCACUUAGCUGCUCGGGAGAUGGUCCAUGUGGCUGAACAAGGCCUCUCUGCAGUCAAGACACUGGAUCCAACCUGGCAAGAGAUGCUGAAUCAUGCCACAUCAAAGGUGAACGAGGCAGAAGAGGAGCGCUUGAAGUGUGAACGUGAGCACAUGCGUGUCACUCAGCAGUGCCAGGAGGCCGAGGCUCACAUGCAGCAGCUGCUGAAGUCUCUGAAGAGAGCCAUCGUAAAGUCCAAGCCUUACUUUGAACUCAAGGCUCAGUUCAAUGACACACUAGAUGAGCACAAGUCAAAGAUUUUAGAGUUAGAGGAGCAUAUUUCCAAAGCCAAGGUAAACUACUCCAGCACUCUGCACCAACUGGAGCAAAUCAGUGUGGAGAUUCACGCCCAGAGAGAGCAGGAUCAACCAAAGGAUAAAUCAAACAAAACAUACGGUGGGCGGAGCCCUCCAGUAGGAGCAGAGACAAACAGCAGCACAGAGACUGAAGGCGAAGCCUCUGGAGACUACAGACCAAGUGAAUGGGUAGAUGGAAAAGAGGGAGUGGCUAAUGCCAUUAAGUUGGGGAAGAUGGAAACUGCUGUGGUGAAGAGAUCUGAUUCGAACUCCCUGUCCAGUGUCAGUUUGCAGACCAUCAUCUCAGAUCUUGGAAAGUGUGACUCAGUUGAACAUCUGGGUCAUCUAAGUAGUGAUGUUAGUCUUUCAGGGCAAGAGGGGGAGGGUACGGGGUGUGUGAGGCAAACAAAUGUAGACAUUUUAGAGGAGUUUCUCAAACAGCACAACAGAAGUGUCAGUUUGUGAGUGCGUACAUCUGUACUGUCCAUUUACAUUUUUUUUGUUUUUGUUUUGAUGCUUUACUUCCACGAAGACCUGUUGAUUUAACGACUGACAGAGCAAGUUUUAAUAUUAUUAUUAUUAUUUAUUGUUGAAUAUAUUUUUAUCAAUACUUGAAAGUUGAAAACCGAGUAGACCGAAAUAGAAAGAAAUAUACAUAUAUAUAUUUUUUUUUAAAACAAGUACCCAACCCUCACAUGAUAAUGUUAUCACAUUUGGGAAUUUCAGAUGAAGUGGGAAAAGACUGACAAUAAUAAGGCAAGUAAUCUCUGCUAUCACUUUUUAGUCUAAUCAACAUACCACACAAUCCCAUAUCAAGAACCAAGUUUUUCUAUGCAAAUGUAUAGUGUAUCAUAUGCUGACUCUUUUUAUUAUAGUCUCUAUUGCUGAUAUAAUAAUACUACAAAUAUUAUUUCAUCUUAUUAGAGGUAAUUUCGCUCUGUACUCUUCUGAUUUUUCAAACUGCAUGUGAACUUCAGUUCACUUUCUGACACAAUCAUACUCUCUGAAUGAGUAAUGCUGUCUAUGAUUAGCUAGUGCAGUGGUCUAAAUUUAUACUAUUAUUUUUCUCACUUGUUUAUUUAAAUUUUAAGAUAAUUUUACUUAAAACAUUUAUUUUUUUGCCUUUUCUCUUAUGCUGAAUUUGAAAUCGUGUUUCACGACAAGUGCUUUGGCUGGAUACCUUAAACCAACAGACAGACACUACCAUAUAAUAUCAAAAUCAUGCUUCAAUUCUUAAAAAUGCAUAUACUGUGUGUGUGUGUGUAUAUAUAUAUAUAUAUAUAAGGCAUACUUUUAUGCUUGUCUCUCUUUUUUUUUUUUUUUUUGGAUUCUCGCCUUUCUUUUAGUUUUUUACUUUACUAUAACAGAAAUACUGAUUUUGUGCAGAUGGAGAAAUUAAGCACUGAAUUAUUUCUGUUCCCAGUGCUGAGGACGUUUUGCUAUUUAGGACAAUCAAUAGUUUUCAGAAUGUAUUUUUCUUUUACAUUUGUCUCAAACGUCUUUGAAUAAUGUUUACCUUUGUUUUCACAGCAUUUUUUCCAUCUGAUGGAAACGUGUUUAUUUAGCAUUUACAGGUCUUUGCUACUGUAAACAUCAGUGUGAGAGAAUUGGAUGCCCUUUAUUAUUUUUCUUAAUUAGUGUUCUGUAUGAAGAUGUGCACAGUGGUAAUGUAUGCAAUGUCAGGAGGAGCAAAUUCAUAUGACCUUGUUGAUUUUUAUUGUUUUGUUUUUUUUAACUGAAUUUAAGGCAAGUCAGUGCUGAGACAUGAAAGUUUCAUGGCAGGAAUGUACUUCUAUAUUUAUAUGUGUUAUGUAAUUAGAUAUACACUCACUGAGCACUUUAUUAGGACCACUAUGGUCCUAAUAAAGUGCCAGACUUGGUCUUCUAUUGUUGUAGCCCACCCGCCUCAAGGUACGACGUGUUGUGUAUUCUGAUAUGCUAUUCUGCUCACUACAAUUGUACAGAGUGGUUAUCUGAGUUACUGUAGCCUUUCUGUCAGCUUGAACCAGUCUGGCAAUUCUCUCAUCAACAACCCUUUUCUGUCCGAAGACCUGCCGCUCAUUGAAUGUCUUUUGGCACCAUUCUGAGUAAACUAGAGAUUGUUGUGUGUGGAAAUUCCAGUAGACCAGCAGUAACAGAAAUACUCAAACCAGCCUGUCUGGCACCAAUAAUCAUGCCAUGGUCUAAAUCACAGAGAUCAUAUUUUUUCCCAUUUUGAUGGUUGAUGUGAACAUUAACUGUUGCUCCUGACCCAUAUCUGAAUGAUUUUGUGCACUGCACAGCUGCCACAUUAUUGGCUGAAUAGAUAAGCGCAUUAAUAAGGUGGUGUACAGGUGUUCCCAAUAAAGUCCUCAGUGAGUGUAUAUAAGAUUUGACCAUCAUAAUAGUCACGAAGUUGAAGUUUUAUUUUCAGUGUAAUAUAGACUAGGGUAACAAAUUUGAUAUUUUCUGUUUUUUUUUUUUUUUCAAAAUAUUUAUAUUUCAAGAUGCACAUCAUGUUGUCUUUUAGAGAAAUCUAAAAAUAAAAGUAGUUGGUCUUGCAGCUUCAUUGUGCUUGAGUUGAAACCUGACAUGAGUUGUACCAAAUAUUCCUUACCUGUCUUUUGUCAUCCAGGCUAGUCUUAAAAAUAAAAACAAAUAACCAGGCAAAAGGCACUGACCUGUUCCUCAAUGUUAUUCAGAUGACGUGAAUUAGAAUCAGGGUGCAACAUCUGCAGUGAAGCCUUAAGUGAUGUGAAUAUACUGCCACCUGAAGGUUCCUGCAGUCAUGGAAAACCUGGAAAUAUGAGGCAACUUUAAAUUUGUGAUCUCCAGGCUUGGAAAAGUCAUGGCAAUUCGACAAAUCUUAAAGGGAUAGUUCACCCAGAAAUGAACAUUCUUUCAUUUACUCAACCUCAUGCCAUCCCAGAUGUGCUUGACUUUCUUUUGCUGAACACAAAGAUUUUUAGAAGAAUAUCUCAGCUCUGUAGGUCCUCACAAUGGAACUGAAAGGUGACCAGACCUUUCAAGCUUCAAAAAUCACAAAGGCAGCACAUAAGUAAUCCAUAUA